CUGCAGAUGGGGCUGCAAUAUGGGUUCCAACCAGUUCAGCUGUAUCUACAGCAACCGGAAAACCCGAUCUUAAGGAGCCAAUGGUCCGUCGCAUCUCAAAAGCCCCGAAGAGGUGAACGCGGUAGCUUUCACCGAGCCCAGUUCAUCAUUAGCAAGAAGUGAGCUUCCUGAGGACAGAAUCUCCA